CGGCUCAGUAACACGUGGAUAACCUACCCUCAGAUCUGGGAUAACUCCGGGAAACUGGAGAUAAUACCGGAUAAUCCGUGAACGCUGGAAUGCCUUACGGUUGAAAGCUUUAGCGUCUGAGGACGGGUCUGCGGCCGAUUAGGUAGUUGCUGGGGUAACGUCCCAACAAGCCGAUAAUCGGUACGGGUUGUGAGAGCAAGAGCCCGGAGAUGGAUUCUGAGACACGAAUCCAGGUCCUACGGGGCGCAGCAGGCGCGAAAACUUUACACUGCGCGAAAGCGCGAUAAGGGGACCUCGAGUGCGUGCGCAAAGCGUACGCUUUUCAGAUGCCUAAAAAGCAUCUGGAAUAAGGGCCGGGCAAGACCGGUGCCAGCCGCCGCGGUAACACCGGCGGCUCAAGUGGUGGCCGCUAUUAUUGGGCUUAAAGGGUCCGUAGCCGGACCAGUUAGUCCCUUGGGAAAUCUUACGGCUUAACCGUAAGGCUGCCAAUGGAUACUGCUGGUCUUGGGACCGGGAGAGGCAAGAGGUACCUCAGGGGUAGGAGUGAAAUCCUGUAAUCCUUGAGGGACCGCCAGUGGCGAAGGCGUCUUGCUAGAACGGGUCCGACGGUGAGGGACGAAAGCUAGGGGCACGAACCGGAUUAGAUACCCGGGUAGUCCUAGCCGUAAA
rnacentral:rRNA from 1 species